rnacentral:rRNA from 1 species
GACGAACGCUGGCGGCGUGCUUAACACAUGCAAGUCGAACGAAGUGGCGAACGGGUGAGUAAUACGUGAGUAACCUGCCCUCCUUUUUGGGAUAAGCCUUGGAAACGGGGUCUAAUACCGAAUAAAGGGGGAUGGGCUCGCGGCCUAUCAGGUUGUUGGUGGGGUGAUGGCCUACCAAGGCGGUGACGGGUAGCCGGCCUGAGAGGGUGACCGGCCACAUUGGGACUGAGAUACGGCCCAGGCUCCUACGGGAGGCAGCAGGGGGAGAAAUUGGACAGUGGGCGAAAGCCUGAUGCAGCGACGCCGCGUGAGUGGAGAAGGUUUGCGGAUCGUAAAGCUCUGUUGUUAAGGAAGCGGUACUUAAACAGAAAGGGACGGCUAACUACGUGCCAGCAGCCGCGGUAAUUC